rnacentral:rRNA from 1 species
AUUGAACGCUGGCGGCAUGCUUUACACAUGCAAGUCGAACGGCAGCGCGGGCUUCGGCCUGGCGGCGAGUGGCGAACGGGUGAGUAAUGCAUCGGAACGUGCCCAGUAGUGGGGGAUAGCCCGGCGAAAGCCGGAUUAAUACCGCAUACGACCUGAGGGUGAAAGCGGGGGACCGAAAGGCCUCGCGCUAUUGGAGCGGCCGAAGUCGGAUUAGCUAGUUGGUGGGGUAAAGGCUUACCAAGGCGACGAUCCGUAGCUGGUCUGAGAGGACGACCAGCCACACUGGGACUGAGACACGGCCCAGACUCCUACGGGAGGCAGCAGUGGGGAAUUUUGGACAAUGGGGGCAACCCUGAUCCAGCCAUGCCGCGUGCGGGAAGAAGGCCUUCGGGUUGUAAACCGCUUUUGUUCGGGAAGAAAUCCUCUGGGCUAAUACCCCGGGGGGAUGACGGUACCGGAAGAAUAAGCACCGGCUAACUACGUG